UACGAAGGGGGCUAGCGUUGCUCGGAAUCACUGGGCGUAAAGCGCACGUAGGCGGCUUUUUAAGUCAGGGGUGAAAUCCUGGAGCUCAACUCCAGAACUGCCUUUGAUACUGAGAAGCUUGAGUCCGGGAGAGGUGAGUGGAACUGCGAGUGUAGAGGUGAAAUUCGUAGAUAUUCGCAAGAACACCAGUGGCGAAGGCGGCUCACUGGCUCGGUACUGACGCUGAGGUGCGAAAGCGUGGGGAGCAAACAGG
rnacentral:rRNA from 1 species